rnacentral:rRNA from 1 species
CCUACGGGUGGCAGCAGUAGGGAAUCUUUCUCAAUGGGCUUACGCCUGAUGGAGCAACGCCGCGUGCGGGAUGAAGGCCCUCUGGUUUUAAACUCCUUUUAUAAGCGAGGAAUCUGAUGCUACCUUAUGACUAAGUAUCGGCUACCUACGUGCAAGCAGCCGCGGUCAUAAGUAGGAUCCGAGCAUUAUCCGGGGGGACUGGGUGUAGAUAGUUGCGUAUGUGGAGUAAUAAGUAGCUAGGGAAAUCUGGUGGCUCAAACACUCAUACUAUUAGUUAAACUGGUGUGCUAGUGCGCGUUGGGGGUAACUGGAAUUUCUAGUGUAGGAGUGAAAUGCGUAGAUAUUAGAAAGAACACCAAUAGCGAAGGCAGGUUACUGGGACGGUUCUGACACUGAGGCACGAAAGCGUAGGGAGCAAACAGGAUUAGAUACCCUUGUAGUC